GCUACAAGCAGAGGCUGACCACCUGCAGAAGG
rnacentral:piRNA from 1 species